rnacentral:lncRNA from 1 species
CGUAGGAGUCUGGAUGAAGUCUUCCUGCCGUUGAAGUCGGGGAUGAAGUCUGGCUCCCGUAGGAGUUCGGACGAAGUCUUGAAGGUGGUCGAUCACUGUGGAAGCUUGGGUGGAGUCUGUCCGUCACGAAGAAUCCGGUCGACGUUGGUGGGGGUUUAUCCAUCGGGAGAACUUGGGAAUGUUGCGGAGGCCCAACCGCCAGAGAGGUUCGGUGAGAUGUUGUCGGAGGUCGGACGUCAGUAGAAUCCCUGGAGGGUCGCUCCUAUCACGAACUUCGGUUGGGAGGUAUUUUACACCCAACACCAUGUAAUAAUCAUGUAAUAGGAUCUUAGAUCUAGGAGUUCUCUAGUUUUAAUAAAAUAAAUUUUGAUUUAUUUUAGUCUUCCACUGUCUGAUCUUGAAAAAGUUUCAAGAUCUAACCCUGAAACUCUAGAUCUAGUUCCUUCAUAUAAAUUAUUGAUUAAUGAAUAAAAGUUAUUC